rfam:Clostridium saccharolyticum WM1, complete genome.
UUGAAUUAAGGGCAAACCCAUCAAAAGAUGGGGACGCAAAGCCGAGGGUCUAAGGCGCACAUUGUGCUAUGAUAGUCUGGCUGCAAAA